UCCUGGUAGCUCAGAUGGUAAAGAAUCUGCCUGUAAUGCAGGAGAUCCAGGUUCAAUCCCUGGGUCAUGAA
rnacentral:tRNA from 1 species